AAUUUCUUAAUUACAUAUAUUUUAUAUUUAUUUUUAUCAUUUUGUAUGUAUAGAUUCUUGUAUAAGUUGAAAUAAUAUGUGUGAAAUAAGGUAUGUCCAGAAGGAUCAAUUGUGGAAGCAUAUAUUUUCACAGAGUAUCUUACAUUCUAUUCGAUGUAUCUCGAUGAUGUAGAAACACGAUUCAAUCAUGAAGACCGCAAUGC
rnacentral:lncRNA from 1 species